rnacentral:lncRNA from 1 species
AAACUGGCUGCAAGGAAACAGAGAACAUGAAGUGCCUAGAAUUUGGUUUAAUGAUUAUCUGACUUUUAAGAAGUCAUUUCUUCAUUAUGUUCAUGUGGCUUUAUCCUUUACGGGUGAGCAUAUUACAAGACCAUAGACUUUUAACAGGAAAACUAAAGAAGGCUGCUUAAGACACUACUAAAGAAAGGGUGAUGAGGCAGGAGCUCUGGAAGGCAGUUACGUCAUGAGGAUGGAGCUGUCAUGAAUGGAGUUAUAUCAAUCGAGUUAUAUCAAUGGAUCUUAUAAAAGAGGCCUCAAAAGGCUCUCUUGUACUCCACAGUUCUCCAUGAAGUUCUGAGCUGCGAGAGCCCAGCAACGCCCUGAACCCAGGCAGCCUGUGAGUAACUGCACAGCCAGGAAGCCAGGAAGGGCUGCAUUGAAGAGGUUGUUUUCAGUCACCUCCUCUGUUAAUAUUAAUGUUGAGACAGAGUUGAACAGGCUCCAUCAUGUCUGUCUCUCUAUGGUCAACACAGUUGUCCUCAUUGCUAUCACCUCCUGAAAAAAAAAAGAUGUUCAUAUAGUAGGGGAAUUCACUUCAAUUGUCUUUAUUAUAUUUAAAACUGUGUAUGGCUAAUGCAAAAUUACAUUUUAUUCAACCACCAGAGGGAGCCUCCAAAUCUAUGGACUUUCCCCAUAAGAAAUAGUACUGAAGUGGUGAGUUUAUAAGUUUUAUGUUUCACAAUUUAAAACCCAGGGCAUUCCAUUUCACGCUGUUGGGUUUUGGCAGUAUUACCCGUCAGCCGAACGGUUGUAUAUCGCUGCUGCUGAUAGAAUGACGUGCUGGUGCUGAAGAGGGAGCAUCCUGCCAGGAAACAGAGGAGCAGACCCGUUAAUUCCCCAGCAGACACGAAAAGUGAAGCUCCUAAACAAAGGGUACAUAGCUCAUUGAUUGCUUUAGGACAAUCAAAACAAACCUCAGAAAAUUCUAUGGAAGGAGAUACAAAGACAAAAUUCGGAGCAGAGACUGAAGGAAUGACCAUCCAGAGGCUGCCCCACCUGGCGAUCCAUCCCAUAAACAGCCACCAAACCCAGACACGAUUGCAGAUGCCAACAAGAUUUUGUUGACAGGAGCCUGAUAUAGCUGUCUCCUGAGAGGCUCUCCAAGUGCCUGGCAAAUACAGAACUGGAUGCUCACAGUCAUCCAUUGGAUGGAACACAGGGUCCUCAAUGAAGGAGCUAAAGAAAGGACCCAAGGAGCUGAAGGGGUUUGUAGCCCUACAGGAAGACCAACCAUAUGAACUAACCAGUACCCCCAGAGCUCCCUGGGACUAAAUCACCAAUCAAAGAAAACACAUGGUGGCACUCGUGUCUCUAGUUGCAUACGUAGCAGAGGAUGGCCUAGUAGGUCAUCAAUGGGAGGAGAGGUCCUUGGUCCUGUGAAGGCUCUAUGGCCCAGUAUAGGGGAAUGCCAGGGCCAGGAAGCAGUAGUGUGUGGUUUGGGGAGCAGGGGCAGGGGGAAGCAGAUAGGGGAUUUUUGGAGGGGAAACUAGGAAAGGGAAUAACAUUUGAAAUGUAAAUAAAGAAAAUAUCUAAUUAAAUAAAAGGGGGAGGGAAGAAAAUUCUUACCAAUCUGUGGUUGUACACUAAGAGGUUUCAUUGAGAAACAUGGCAAAGAAGGAAAAAUAUCUUGUUUUAUUUUUUUAACAGUCAUCAACUUGGACCUUGUCAAGCACAUUCCAGAGUUGCAUUUGCAGACAGGGAGGAUGAUGUAUAUGGAGGAUGAUAUAGAUGCAGAUCUCCUGAGAACUUGUGGAGUCUGACAUGUAUCCCACAUGACCUGGAGCAGGCAGGAAUAAUCCUAACUUUAACCGACCUGCUAACCUUGCUAGUUUAUUGGUGACUAAGGUGGGCUUUGUGAUAGCCAUUUUAUACUCAGAGAUGAUGUGAAGGAGAUCAAAGGUGCUUUAAAGAGGGCUUUCUGUCAGGAGCAGGAGAAAGACCUUUCAUGAACCUAGAAACAAUUUUCUUGAUGUAGAGGACUGAAGUCCGCAGAGCUGUUGCAAGUCCGCAGGCAGCCAGCACUCCAAGCUCUGGAAAGGUAUAGUCUUCAGAGCUCUCAACUAAAACAGUUAUAGCCGAGAAAUCCGUGAGAGAGAGCUAGAGGGCAAAUUAAAAGCCUGAUGGCUCUUAGAACAUUUUCUGCCCACAAUCACUCUGUGCCACUUUAAUUUUUUCAUUCUGACAGGGUCAGAAAGGAGGGCAAGUAGA